GUGGGGAAUAUUGGACAAUGGGCGAAAGCCUGAUCCAGCCAUGCCGCGUGUGUGAAGAAGGUCUUCGGAUUGUAAAGCACUUUAAGUUGGGAGGAAGGGCAGUAAGUUAAUACCUUGCUGUUUUGACGUUACCGACAGAAUAAGCACCGGCUAACUUCGUGCCAGCAGCCGCGGUAAUACGAAGGGUGCAAGCGUUAAUCGGAAUUACUGGGCGUAAAGCGCGCGUAGGUGGUUUUGUAAGUUGGAGGUGAAAUCCCCGGGCUCAACCUGGGAACUGCCUCCAAAACUGCAUGACUAGAGUACGGUAGAGGGUAGUGGAAUUUCCUGUGUAGCGGUGAAAUGCGUAGAUAUAGGAAGGAACACCAGUGGCGAAGGCGACUACCUGGACUGAUACUGACACUGAGGUGCGAAAGCGUGGGGAGCAAACAGGAUUAGAAACCCUUUAGUCC
rnacentral:rRNA from 1 species